GGGCUUAAAAAUGUAAAGCAAAUUAAAAAAAAAAAAAAAUCCUUAAAGUUACCGACCGGCUGAAGCUCUUUUGAACUUUGUUGUGCCUCAAGGAUGUUUUCAUAGUGGUUGCUUAAAAAUUCUCUUACUUGGCGAAGAAAAAGAAGCACAGAGGAGUCUUCCAGUGGCAGCGGUCCUUUGUUCGAUGGAAACCUUUUGGCAACGCACUUUGUUUGUCUACCGCCAACGGAGCAGCAGUAAACAAACUACUGGAGAGUGCAAAAUGCUAAAUUAUACUUAAGCCGCACAUACACAGGCGAAAUACACUCGUAGAUUGCACAAAGUGUCCGCCAAAGCGGAGCCACGCACCGGCCGGAAAAAAAGAACUCAAACGACGCCGCCGCCGCAAAGCGGAAAUGCACUCAAAGGGGCAAAAGCCCACGGAAGGGCGUGGCACCGGCACCACGCCCACUUCCCGGUAGCCCAACAUUUGCCCCAUCAUCAUCUACAUCGUCAUCGGCUUCAAUGGCGGCGGUUCUCUUUUUUCUGGCUUUGUGCAUUGUGCUCUCUGUUUGCUUGUUUGUCGCUACGUUGGUUUAACGACCACAAAAAGCAUGAAAUCGG
ensembl:ncRNA lncRNA:CR44408 long non-coding RNA:CR44408